rnacentral:rRNA from 1 species
CAGCCGCCGCGGUAAUACCGGCGGCCCGAGUGGCGGUCACUAUUAUUGGGCUUAAAACGUCCGUAGCCGGGUUGGGAAGUCUUCCGGGAAAUCUGGCCGCUUAACGGUCCGAAUGCCGGAGGAUACUCCCAGCCUAGGGAGCGGGAGAGGCCGAGGGUAUUCCCGGGGUGAGGGGGAAAUCCUAUAAUCCCGGGAGGACCACCUGUGGCGAAGGCGCUCGGCUGGAACGCGUCCGACGGUGAGGGACGAAGGCCAGGGGAGCAAACCGGAUUAGAUACCCGGGUAGUCCUGGCUGUAAACGAUGCGGACUUUGUGUCGGACAAGCUAUGAGCUUGUCCGGUGCCGGAGGGAAACCGUUAAGUCCGCCGCCUGGGGAGUACGGCCGCAAGGCUGAAACUUAAAGGAAUUGGCGGG